CUUCUAUUAUUCGAUAGUUUAUAUUCAAAUAUAUUUAGUAUACAUGUAUACAUAGUAAUGUUGUGACGUAGCAAUUUAACGAAAAUGAAGAUACGUUACAAAGUCAGGUACGACGAAAGUAAGAAGACGAUAAGUACGAAGAAGAACGUUACACCAUAAAUAUUAAAACUUCUCAAAAAUUGAAUAAAUAUUUUCUAAAUUGAAUCAAGUACUGCGCAAAAGGUUUGAGUUUUGAUAAAGAAAUUAAUUUAUACUAUAUAAAGUAUACAUAUAUAAGUACGUAAAAUCUACGUCCUACUUUUAUAUUAACAAAAGGACCUCCUGCUCCAUCAUUUCAAGAGAUUCAAAUUUUAGAUCCUGUGAUAUGGUAAAGUAUUUUCCAUUGCCGAGUUUAACAGUACGGCUGGAUGUGCAUAGAUCGUUCCUGGUUGAGCAAAGAAUUGUGGCGCAGCCGCGCAUGUCCCAGCAAGGACGAGAACAAAAAUGAUAUUCAUUUCUUGAUCACCUUACCUGUAAGAGAGAUUACAAAUAUUAAGGAUACAAGUGUUAAAUAAUUCAUUAGAUCAAUAAUAAUGUUAUCAAAUUUAUACGUACACAUAUAUUAUACAUAUUUAUAUGUAUUAUUUAGCAGUUUUGAUUUUAUGUGUUUAUAUACAUAUACAUAUACACAAUAUAUAUAUAUAUAUAUAUAUAUAUAUAUAUAUAUAUAUAUAUAUAUAAAAUUUGUUGGUAGGUUGUCUUCAAAAAAAUUCAACUUACCACGUUGAAACGGGAUAUUAUAAAAAUACUAUAGAAAAGGAUAGAGGAUAAACUAAUUGUCGAAAAUUAGUACGAUCCGCUUAAUAUUUCUUGUUAUCCUAGAAGAUUCUACCGUGAUAAACUUAAGAACUUCUCUUGAAACUGUCGAAAGAGAAUUGUCAACUCUAACUCUGAUACUCGUAUAUGAUAAAAGGGAGACCACAGAAAACGGAUUAAAAUUUCACCGCAACAGUCAUCAAAUAUACUCUAAGCUUUGAUUACAAUCGUUAUUGCCAUGAUCUAUCUUUCUGAUAGGAUUUAAUGUCUUUAAAUCGUAUGGAUUAUCUUGGAAAGAUGUUUUAGAUAUGAACGACGUUUCCCUUGUAAGUAUCUAACUGAAUGCACGAUCCAUGACGGCGUUACUUAUAUACGAGUUGCUCGACCAGUGCUUUCCACUCGAGCUAAGGUUACAUCCGAAGACUCGUGGUCAUUGCCUAGUCGUUGCUUUGGUCCUUCCAUCGGCUAACUUUGUCCUUAUCCUCGAGACGAGGUCAUCGAUCUUCAACUAAAUCGAGUCAAGGGUGACGAAUAUCGAUCGAUCGUUUCGAUUGAUCCAGUUAUUUAACUUCCUCUUAUAUUUUUAUUUCUUUUUAUCUUUUUCCUUUAUUUUAAACAGAUCUUUUUUGCACGAUGAUCAUCUAAACAAACAGCAGAUUUCUGAAAAUUCCUACUUCGUUUGGAAAGACUAAUUCCAUCUUUUUGUUUGUUUCUCUGAAAAGAUUGAUAGAUCGUUCGUAUCGAUCGAAAGAUUUUAAUGUUGAAAUAUGAAAAAAUAAUCGAGUGAUAAACGAGCAUCCGGAUGUUACAUUACAUCGGUUUCUAUUCAUCAAAUCGUAACAUUUAUUAAUCUUUGUAUUUAUCUAUUAUUUCGCGUCCGCUUGGAACCACGAUCGAGUCGAUUAAAUUUUAGAUCUAUAGGAUGAUCUACGUAGAUAUAUAUAUAUAUGUCUUUUGGAUAUUUCUCAUUCUAGUUUCACUUUUUACAUCAGAAUGUCCGAAUUCCAUGGGCGUAUCCGGCACACCCGUUUGUUACGAUACCGAUUUCGUUCGUGAACGAAAGUUACGCAUCAAAUCGAACGUGACCAUGCAAUAUAAUGGACGCAAAAAUUUGGUAAAAAAGAAAUUCCAUCAUCCUUUGUGUUCAUUAAGAAAACCUUAGAAUUUGUUGAUUCUUUAUUCUGAACCAUGAUAGCAGAUUUAGUUAAGAAAUUCAUAAAUUUAGACGAUCAAGUUGGAAAUAUCUUUUUAUUUAGUUAAGUUUAGAUAUAUGUUUGAUUUUCAUUUUUCAUUUUUCUUUUUCAUUGUUCCGGGAUAUCUCAUAAUUUAGAUUUCAAUGGAAGUUUCGCAGUUUUCAACUCGUCGUUAAUCGAAGGUAAGGAGAGAACGGAUAUUCUUGUGGUAUUCGGGUCAAUGUUGCGACCUUACAGGCAGAAACUAACCGACAGAGCAGUCGCCCUUGUCAGAAUUGAUUCACUGAUUCAGGAAGUCGUCCACAUUGGUGAAGUCGUUUUUAAUAAUCUUCAGAAAUAUCAUAUUUCGAUAAAAGAUCUAUAUGGAGGAUUUAGAAAAGAUCUAGAUCAUUAUUCCUUGAUGACACGAUCGUUUAUGAAUGGUCAAAUUAUUAAGCAAUUUUUUAAAUCAUUUAGAACAUUAUUUGAAUACUUCAGAUCUAUAUUUUUUUUCGUUAUGAAGUAGAAUAUCGUAUCGCACAGGAUUACCUUUUAAAUAUCCAAUAUGGGUCGUGAUAUAAUAAAACAGAAAGGAUCGUAAAAAACAUAAAAUUUUUAAUUUCUAUAUCUUUUAUUUUCAUUCGUGAUAAUG